GGAGCAGUAGCUCAGUGGUAGAGCUCUAACUUCGUAUGCCGGAAGACCUGGGUUCGAUUCCCGGCGGCUUGC
rfam:Toxocara canis scaffold97, whole genome shotgun sequence.